GACGAACGCUGGCGGCGUGCUUAACACAUGCAAGUCGAACGGAAAGGCCUCUUUCGGGGGGUACUCGAGUGGCGAACGGGUGAGUAACACGUGAGUAACCUGCCCUUGACUUUGGGAUAACUUCAGGUAACUGGGGCUAAUACCGGAUAGGAGCUCCUGCUGCAUGGUGGGGGUUGGAAAGUUUCGGCGGUUGGGGAUGGACUCGCGGCUUAUCAGCUUGUUGGUGGGGUAGUGGCUUACCAAGGCUUUGACGGGUAGCCGGCCUGAGAGGGUGACCGGCCACAUUGGGACUGAGAUACGGCCCAGACUCCUACGGGAGGCAGCAGUGGGGAAUAUUGCACAAUGGGUGGAAGCCUGAUGCAGCAACGCCGUGUGCGGGAUGACGACCUUCGGGUUGUAAACCGCUUUCGCUCAUGACGAAGCUUUGUGUGACGGUAGUGGGUAAAGAAGCACCGGCUAACUACGUG
rnacentral:rRNA from 1 species